ACCUGACGCAGCGACGCCGCGUGCGGGAAGAAGGCCUUCGGGUUGUAAACCGCUUUCAGGAGGACGAAGCCACUCGGGUGAACAGCCCAGAGGGUGACGGUACCUCCAGAAGAAGCCCCGGCUAACUACGUGCCAGCAGCCGCGGUAAUACGUAGGGGGCAAGCGUUGUCCGGAUUUAUUGGGCGUAAAGAGCGUGUAGACGGCCAGGUAGGUCGGUUGUGAAAACUGGAGGCUCAACCUCUAGACGUCGACCGAAACCAUCUGGCUAGAGUCCGGAAGAGGAGAGUGGAAUUCCUGGUGUAGCGGUGGAAUGCGCAGAUAUCAGGAAGAACACCCGUGGCGAAGGCGGCUCUCUGGGACGGUACUGACGCUGAGACGCGAAAGCGUGGGGAGCGAACAGGAUUAGAUACCCUGGUAGUCCACGCCGUAAACGAUGGGUGCUAGGUGUGGGAGGUGUCGACUCCUCCCGUGCCGCAGCUAACGCAUUAAGCACCCCGCCUGGGGAGUACGGCCGCAAGGCUA
rnacentral:rRNA from 1 species